rnacentral:rRNA from 1 species
AACGAACGCUGGCGGCGUGCCUAACACAUGCAAGUCGAACGGGAUUCGGAGCUUGCUCCGAUGAGAGUGGCGCACGGGUGAGUAACGCGUAGAUAAUCUGCCUGAUGAUCUGGGAUAACAGUUCGAAAGGACUGCUAAUACCGGAUAAGCCCACGGAGACCUUGGUCUUUGCGGGAAAAGGGGGGGACCUUCGGGCCUUCCGUCAUCAGAUGAGUCUGCGUACCAUUAGCUAGUUGGUAGGGUAAAGGCCUACCAAGGCGACGAUGGUUAGCUGGUCUGAGGGGAUGAUCAGCCACACUGGAACUGAGACACGGUCCAUACUCCUGCGGGAGGCAGCAGUGGGGAAUUUUGCGCAAUGGGGGAAACCCUGACGCAGCAACGCCGCGUGAGUGAUGAAGGCUCUUGGGUCGUAAAGCUCUGACAGAGGGAAAGAAGUGUAUGGUGGUUAAUACCCAUUGUACUUGACGGUACCCUCAAAGGAAGCACCGGCUAACUCCGUGCCAGCCGCCGCAGUAAAAC